rnacentral:rRNA from 1 species
AGUGAACGCUGGCGGUAGGCCUAACACAUGCAAGUCGAACGGCAGCACAGUAAGAGCUUGCUCUUACGGGUGGCGAGUGGCGGACGGGUGAGGAAUACAUCGGAAUCUACUUUUUCGUGGGGGAUAACGUAGGGAAACUUACGCUAAUACCGCAUACGACCUACGGGUGAAAGCAGGGGAUCUUCGGACCUUGCGCGAUUGAAUGAGCCGAUGUCGGAUUAGCUAGUUGGCGGGGUAAAGGCCCACCAAGGCGACGAUCCGUAGCUGGUCUGAGAGGAUGAUCAGCCACACUGGAACUGAGACACGGUCCAGACUCCUACGGGAGGCAGCAGUGGGGAAUAUUGGACAAAGGGCGCAAGCCUGAUCCAGCCAUACCGCGUGGGUGAAGAAGGCCUUCGGGUUGUAAAGCCCUUUUGUUGGGAAAGAAAAGCAGCAGGUUAAUACCCCGCUGUUCUGACGGUACCCAAAGAAUAAGCACCGGCUAACUUCGUA